rnacentral:rRNA from 1 species
AUCAACUUUCGAUGGUAGGAUAGAGGCCUACCAUGGUGGUAACGGGUAACGGGGAAUUAGGGUUCGAUUCCGGAGAGGGAGCCUGAGAAACGGCUACCACUUCCAAGGAAGGCAGCAGGCGCGCAACUUACCCAAUCCCGACACGGGGAGGUAGUGACAAUAAAUAACAAUACGGGGCUCUUUCGGGUCUCGUAAUUGGAAUGAGUACAAUUUAAAUCCCUUAACGAGGAACAAUUGGAGGGCAAGUCUGGUGCCAGCAGCCGCGGUAAUUCCAGCUCCAAUAGCGUAUAUUAAAGUUGUUGCAGUUAAAAAGCUCGUAGUUGAAUUUCGGGAUUGACGUGAUGGUCAUGCCUUAAGGGGUAUGAACUGUUGCAGUUGAUUUCUCACCUUCUGGAAAAACUUGAUGUCCUUUAUUGGGUGUCUUGCGGAUCCAGGACCUUUACCUUGAAAAAAUUAGAGUGUUUAAAGCAGGCAUUUUUGCUCGAAUACAUUAGCAUGGAAUAAUAGAAUAGGACGGCAUGGUUCUAUUUUGUUGGUUUCUAGGAUCACCGUAAUGAUUAAUAGGGAUAGUUGGGGGCAUUAGUAUUCAAUUGUCAGAGGUGAAAUUCUUGGAUUUAUUGAAGACUAACUACUGCGAAAGCAUUUGCCAAGGAUGUUUUCAUUAAUCAAGAACGAAAGUUAGUGGAUCGAAGACGAUCAGAUACCGUCGUAGUCUUAACCAUAAACUAUGCCGACUAGGAAUCAGACGAUGUUAAUUUUUUAAUGACUCGUUUGGCACCUUACGGGAAACCAAAGUGUUUGGGUUC